rnacentral:rRNA from 1 species
CUGCGAGUCGAACGGAUCCUUCGGGAUUAGUGGCGGACGGGUGAGUAACACGUGGGAACGUGCCCUUUGGUUCGGAACAACUCAGGGAAACUUGAGCUAAUACCGGAUAAGCCUUUCGAGGGAAAGAUUUAUCGCCAUUGGAGCGGCCCGCGUAGGAUUAGCUAGUUGGUGAGGUAAAAGCUCACCAAGGCGACGAUCCUUAGCUGGUCUGAGAGGAUGAUCAGCCACAUUGGGACUGAGACACGGCCCAAACUCCUACGGGAGGCAGCAGUGGGGAAUCUUGCGCAAUGGGCGAAAGCCUGACGCAGCCAUGCCGCGUGAAUGAUGAAGGUCUUAGGAUUGUAAAAUUCUUUCACCGGGGACGAUAAUGACGGUACCCGGAGAAGAAGCCCCGGCUAACUUCGUGCCAGCAGCCGCGGUAAUACGAAGGGGGCUAGCGUUGCUCGGAAUUACUGGGCGUAAAGGGAGCGUAGGCGGAUAGUUUAGUCAGAGGUGAAAGCCCAGGGCUCAACCUUGGAAUUGCCUUUGAUACUGGCUAUCUUGAGUACGGAAGAGGUAUGUGGAACUCCGAGUGUAGAGGUGAAAUUCGUAGAUAUUCGGAAGAACACCAGUGGCGAAGGCGACAUACUGGUC